UGCUCCUCCAUCUAUAGAAUCUAGCAGAACGGAAUCAAUGCAUGUAGAGCUGGCAGCAUGACAUAGCUCAGUUUGGUAAGGAUGCACUCACCGUAUGUUGUUUCUGAGUGGGAGGCUACCUGUAACUAUCAUUCCACGUAUCUACUGAUAACGUGACAAAGGCAGCGCUGGCAGGUUGACUGAUGACGUGACAAAGGCAGUGCUGGCAGGUCAGGUGUUUCGACUAAUAAAAUUACCCCCAAGUUUGAACACUGUCAUUGAAGAAACAAGGACAUAGAGGCAUGACUGGUGAACUUUAUGUGAGAUCAACUCCCAAAAACCUAACUACAGAGCACAAAUUGUUCGACACCUAAGUACGUUGUCUACAAACCUAACAAUCUUGCUCAGCUAAGUGUGAUCUAUUCAUGGUGAUGCAAUGAUGUAAAGAUGCCUAUCUAUACCAAUUAGGUUGUCUGCUGCUUUCUAGACAUGAAUUCCUAAUCUCGUACUAGUAAGAUAGCAUCUGAUCAAAGAAAGGCUUCAAUCUAAUUUCCAUCCAGCUGUA